AAAGUCUAACUUGAAUCUCUGCUCUUGCAGUCAAAACAAUGUCAGCCUCAAACCCUCUAGCCCACAUCCUUGAAUCCAAUCAUUUGACCAGCGCAAACUAUAAAGAUUGGCUAAAAAACCUCAGGAUUAUCCUGACUUUUGAAAAAUUGGAUCAUGUACUCGAUCAAAAACCCAUAGUGUUACCAAACCAACCUACUGC
rnacentral:lncRNA from 1 species